rnacentral:rRNA from 1 species
GACGAACGCUGGCGGCGUGGAUUAGGCAUGCAAGUCGAACGGUAUCAUCCUUUCGGGGGUGAGAGAGUGGCGAACUGGUGAGUAACACGUAGGUUAUCUACCCUCAAGACGGGGACAACCCAGGGAAACUUGGGCUAAUACCGGAUGUGAGCAACUUUUAGUUGUUUGAAAGGUGGCGUAAGCUGUCGCUUGGGGAUGAGCCUGCGUCCUAUUAGUCAGUUGGUGAGGUAACGGCUCACCUAGGCAAUGAUAGGUAGGCGGCCUUAACGGGUGGUCGCCCACACUGGGAUUGAGAUACGGCCCAGACUCCUACGGGAGGCAGCAGUCGAGAAUAGUCUACAAUGGUCGGAAGACUGAUAGUGCGACGCCGCGUGAACGAUGAAUCCCUUCGGGGUGUAAAGUUCUUUUAUAUGUGAGCAGUGCUUCUUAUAUUAACAGUAUGGGGAGAGAGAUAUUAGCAUAUGAAUAAGCAACGGCUAACUCCGUGCCAGCAGCCGCGGUAAAA